UACGUAGGGGGCAAGCGUUGACCGGAAUCAUUGGGCGUAAAGAGCGUGUAGGCGGUUCGGUAAGUCGGAUGUGAAAGCCCUCGGCUCAACUGAGGAAGUGCACCCGAAACUGGCGAGCUUGAGUACGAAAGAGGAUCGCGGAAUUCCCGGUGUAGAGGUGAAAUUCGUAGAUAUCGGGAGGAACACCGGUGGCGAAGGCGGCGAUCUGGGUCGAUACUGACGCUGAGGUGCGAAAGCGUGGGGAGCAAACAGG
rnacentral:rRNA from 1 species